UACGUAGGUGGCAAGCGUUAUCCGGAUUUAUUGGGCGUAAAGGGAACGCAGGCGGUCUUUUAAGUCUGAUGUGAAAGCCUUCGGCUUAACCGGAGUAGUGCAUUGGAAACUGGGAGACUUGAGUGCAGAAGAGGAGAGUGGAACUCCAUGUGUAGCGGUGAAAUGCGUAGGUAUAUGGAAGAACACCAGUGGCGAAAGCGGCUCUCUGGUCUGUAACUGACGCUGAGGUUCGAAAGCGUGGGUAGCAAGCAGG
rnacentral:rRNA from 1 species